rnacentral:rRNA from 1 species
AACGCGAAGAACCUUACCUGGGCUCGAACGGCUUCGGACAAACUGUGGAAACACGGUCUUCCCGCAAGGGACUGGAGUCGAGGUGCUGCAUGGCUGUCGUCAGCUCGUGUCGUGAGAUGUUGGGUUAAGUCCCGCAACGAGCGCAACCCUCGUCCUGUGUUGGCAUGCCGCAAGGCGCAACUCUCAGGAGACCGCCAGCGAUAAGCUGGAGGAAGGUGGGGAUGAUGUCAAGUCAUCAUGGCCUUUAUGUCCAGGGCUACACACGUGCUACAAUGGACGGUACAAACCGCUGCAAACCCGCGAGGGGGAGCUAAUCGGAAAAAACCGUUCUCAGUUCGGAUCGCAGGCUGCAACUCGCCUGCGUGAAGCUGGAAUCGCUAGUAAUGGUGUAUCAGAAUGAUACCGUGAAUACGUUCCCGGGCCUUGUACACACCGCAUAC